AACGAACGCUGGCGGCACGCCUAACACAUGCAAGUCGAACGGAGUAUGGAAUUCGGUCGAUACCUAGUGGCAAACGGGUGAGUAACGCGUGGGAAUCUGCCCAUCUGUGGGGAAUAACUUCGGGAAACUGAAGCUAAUACCGCAUACGUCCGAAAGAAGAAAGACUUCGGUCGCAGAUGGAGGAGCCCGCGUUGGAUUAGGUAGUUGGUGGGGUAAUGGCCUACCAAGCCUACGAUCUAUAGCUGGACUAAGAGGAUGGUCAGCCACACUGGGACUGAGACACGGCCCAGACUCCUACGGGAGGCAGCAGUGGGGAAUAUUGGACAAUGGGGGAAACCCUGAUCCAGCGAUGCCGCGUGAGUGAUGAAGGCCUUCGGGUUGUAAAGCUCUUUCAGUGGGGAAGAUAAUGACGGUACCCACAGAAGAAGGACCGGCUAACUUCGUGCCAGCCGCCGCCGUAA
rnacentral:rRNA from 1 species